rnacentral:rRNA from 1 species
UUUCGCAAUGCCCGAAAGGGUGACGAAGCGACGCCGCGUGGGUGAGGAAGGCCUUCGGGUUGUAAAGCCCUGUCAGGAGUUAUGAAAUGUAAGUGCGCUAAUAUCGUGCUUAUUUGACAAAGGCUCCAAAGGAAGCCACGGCUAACUCUGUGCCAGCAGCCGCGGUAAUACAGAGGUGGCGAGCGUUGUUCGGAAUUAUUGGGCGUAAAGAGCACGUAGGUGGGUUUGCAAGUCAGAUGUGAAAGCCUUCAGUUCAACGGAAGAAUUGCAUCUGAAACUGCUAAUCUUGAGUAUAGGAGGGGAGAAUGGAACUUCUGGUGGAGCGGUGAAAUGCGUAGAUAUCAGAAGGAACGCCGGCGGCGAAAGCGAUUCUCUGGCCUAUUACUGACACUCAGUGUGCGAAAGCUAGGGGAGCAAACGGGAUUAGAUACCCCGGUAGUCCUAGCCGUAAACGAUGGGCACUAAGUAGAGGGGUUUUA